rnacentral:rRNA from 1 species
UAUUGGUCAAUGGGCGGAAGCCUGAACCAGCCAAGUCGCGUGAGGGAUUAAGGCCCUCCGGGUCGUAAAACUCUUUUGCCGGGGAGCAGAGGUCCGGACGUGUCCGGGCCGGGAGAGUACCCGGUUAAAAAGCAUCGGCUCACUCCGUGCCAGCAGCCGCGGUAAUACGGAGGAUGUGAGCGUUAUCCGGAUUUAUUGGGUUUAAAGGGUGCGUAGGCGGGCAUUUAAGCCGGCGGUCAAAUGUCGGGGCUCAACCCCGGCCUGCCGUCGGAACUGGGUGCCUUGAGUGGGCGAGAAGUAUGCGGAAUGCGUGGUGUAGCGGUGAAAUGCAUAGAUAUCACGCAGAACCCCGAUUGCGAAGGCAGCAUACCGGCGCCCUACUGACGCUGAAGCACGAAAGCGUGGGUAUCG